CUCCCUCUCACGCAGCUGCGUCGUCGUCACCAGGUCCGGCAGCCCCGUCGCUUUGUCGGGCUCGCCGGCGUGUGAGCCCAGCCGCCGUCGCGAGGGCGGGGCAGCAGGGUCAUUCCGGAUGAAACAUUGCAGCCGCCGGAGCUUCGCUGGCAGCUGGUGCGUCGAGGGGCAGUGGCGACGCCAGGAGGCAGCGGGGUGCGUCGAGGUUCAAACUCUUAAAGCUAAGUCAUUGUUCUAAAGCUUGAUAUUAAGAUUGUGGUUGAAAGAAGUUCAUGGUUUCAAGUUUGUUCUUGUAUCGGGAGUGCAAAAGUGGUGAUCGAGCAAGACCCGGAGGACGGGAGACGGCUGUCCCGGGGCUGCCCGGUACUCGGCACGGCUGUCCGGCGUGAGUCCCUCCCGGCACGACUCUUGUGAUGUCCGAAAUUGUUUUUCUUAUUCUAUUCUAGC